rnacentral:rRNA from 1 species
CCUACGGGUGGCAGCAGUGAGGAAUAUUGGUCAAUGGACGAGAGCCUGAACCAGCCAAGUAGCGUGAGGGAUGACUGUCCUAUGGGUUGUAAACUUCUUUUAUAAAGGAGUAAAAGGAGCCACGCGUGCCUUUUUGCAUGUACCUUAUGAAUAAGGAUCGGCUAACUCCGUGCCAGCAGCCGCGGUAAUACGGAGGAUCCGAGCGUUAUCCGGAUUUAUUGGGUUUAAAGGGAGCGUAGGUGGGUUGUUAAGUCAGUCGUGAAAGUUUGCGGCUCAACCGUAUAAUUGCAAUUGAAACUGGCAUUCUUGAGUACAGGUGAGGUAGGCGGAAUUCGUGGUGUAGCGGUGAAAUGCUUAGAUAUCACGAAGAACCCCGAUUGCGAAGGCAGCUUACUGACCUGCGACUGACGCUGAUGCACGAAAGUGUGGGUAUCAAACAGGAUUAGAUACCCGUGUAGUC